rnacentral:rRNA from 1 species
GACGAACGCUGGCGGCGUGCCUAAUACAUGCAAGUCGAGCGAGUCUGCCUUGAAGAUCGGAGUGCUUGCACUCUGUGAAACAAGAUACAGGCUAGCGGCGGACGGGUGAGUAACACGUGGGUAACCUGCCCAAGAGAUCGGGAUAACACCUGGGAACAGAUGCUAAUAUCGGAUAACAACAGAUGAUGCCUCUCAUCUGUUUAAAAGAUGGUUCUGCUAUCACUCUUGGAUGGACCUGCGGUGCAUUAGCUAGUUGGUAGGGUAACGGCCUACCAAGGCGAUGAUGGAUAGCCGAGUUGAGAGAGUGAUCGGCCACAUUGGGACUGAGACACGGCCCAAACUCCUACGGGAGGCAGCAGUAGGGAAUCUUCCACAAUGGACGCAAGUCUGAUGGAGCAACGCCGCGUGAGUGAAGAAGGGUUUCGGCUCGUAAAGCUCUGUUGUUGGUGAAGAAGGACAGGGGUAGUAACUGACCUUUGUUUGGCGGUAAUCAAUGAGAAAGUCACGGCUAACUACGUG